CUAGAACGAACGCUGGCGGCAUGGAUUAGGCAUGCAAGUCGAACGGGAGCAGCAAUGCUCCAGUGGCGCAAGGGUGAGGAACACGUGACAACCUGCCUUCGAUUGGGGAUAGCUUCUGGAAACGGGAGAUAAUACCGAAUAACAUCACCGGAUCGCAUGAUUUGGUGAUCAAAGCAGCAAUGCGCUUGGAGAGGGGUUCGCGUCCCAUUAGUUAGUUGGUGAGGUAACGGCCCACCAAGGCGAUGAUGGGUAGCUGGUCUGAGAGGACGAUCAGCCACAUUGGGACUGAGAUACUGCCCAGACUCCUACGGGAGGCUGCAGUCGAGAAUUUUGGGCAAUGGACGAAAGUCUGAACCCCCAGCAAUGCCGCGUGCGGGAUGAAGGUCUUCGGAUUGUAAACCGCUGUCAAGAGGGACGAAAUUUGACGGUACCUCUGGAGGAAGCCACGGCUAACUACGUGCCAGCCGCCGC
rnacentral:rRNA from 1 species